GGCCGCAAGGUUAAAACUCAAAUGAAUUGACGGGGGCCCGCACAAGCGGUGGAGCAUGUGGUUUAAUUCGAUGCAACGCGAAGAACCUUACCUGGUCUUGACAUCCACAGAAGAAUCCAGAGAUGGAUUUGUGCCUUCGGGAACUGUGAGACAGGUGCUGCAUGGCUGUCGUCAGCUCGUGUUGUGAAAUGUUGGGUUAAGUCCCGCAACGAGCGCAACCCUUAUCCUUUGUUGCCAGCGGUUAGGCCGGGAACUCA
rnacentral:rRNA from 1 species